GCCGAUGCAGCCCCGCGAGUCCGACCAAUCACGCGUUAGCAUUAAUCCGAGGACACAUUCAAGGUCGGUUGAUGAGUAGCAGCAAGAGCAAUACGCGCAUAUGCUACCCGGUGAGAGCCAAGAAGCGGCGUGUGCAUUUUUUUUUAAACCACACAGGAAAGGAGCGGAGCCGACCAGUUUACACGUGCAAUCCUUCACUAUAAUCACCGCAGCGAAAGAUUAUCGAUCAUCUGCGAUCAUGGUAUCGAUAUCACCGACUAAUCAUCUCUUUAAACCGAGAAACAACAACACUGAUGCGGUUUGCUUGCAGGAUCCAGCUGUAAUGUGCCUCCACGUCGCAGCAGCGCAAAGCCUCAAUCUGUCUUUCCUCGUCCACUACAGAAUCCAUGUCUGGUUUUGCACGUUGCUCCUUUUGCAGCAUCUUGUUACUUUAUAGAUAUCUUUUUAAAAGAUCAUCGUUACAAUCUGUAAUCAGUACAAAGACAUCGCGUUGCGUUGACAGACAGGCAGAUUUACUGUAUAUCCUCCUGCAGCGGCUGCAGGUUUGGUGUAUCCUGCACUGCACUGCAGCAGGCCUCGUUAUCAGCAGGGUGAGUGACCCUGCCAUCUGUAGGCCACUUGUUUGUAAACAGUCUGUGGGGAAUUGGUGCGAGCGUGCAUGUGCGCGCGUGCAACCAGCGAAGACCUCUAUCAGAAGAUAAUAACACCUCUAACCAGGUGUGAAGUCAUGAUCAGGCAUUUAACAGUCUGCUGCCGCUAAAUGCAGCAAGCAAGGAGAUAAAAGUCAAGUUAAACAUCUCUCAACCACUCAGAUUUCUCUUGUGACCCUCUGAGGGAUCCUGAGCCACAGGUUGGGAACCAGUGCUCUACAGCGUUUGAGGAAAUCUUAGUCAUUCUGGCUCUAAAUUUGGGGAAGCUUUAUAUUGAUUUGUGUUUCAAGAUUUUUUGCACAAAAUAUUACAACUGCAAAGCAAGAACGUCCAUAAAAACAUGCUGAUGAUCCUCACUGUACUUCGGAUAUUAAACCAAAAACAUCAACAAUAAAUGAAACUGACAACGUGGGAUGUAAAUAUGAAUAAAAACAAGUUGUCAGGCCUGUAACCUCAGACUUCUGCUCCACCAACCACUGGAGGGAGACAUGCACCUUCCCAAUACUCCGAGGGCGACAUCAUGAAGUCAACAGCCAUUUUAAGCUUUUAGUCUGAACUAGUGUUCACAAACUGAGCAGAAUGAUAAACUCAGUAACACCACCUGCCAGAAGACAGAUUGACUUUAAUACAGCAUGUAUCCGGUUAUUCUUAAUAGCAUUUGCAAAGUGCAGAUUAUAUCAAUAUGAGCUGCUUCAUAGGCCCGAUCUUUAUCCAACAGUACAUUCAUACAUCCAUUAGAACAGAAAGAUUAGAUCCUUUAAUUAACUCAUUUACUUCUGAUAAGUCGUAAUUCCUCUCAAGAUGAUUUUCUGAAAGAUAAAGAACUCUUGAACUGUUGCCUCUCUCUCCAUCUAUCCUUCUGCAUGUGUUUCUGAUGCUGUUUUGCAUGUAUUUCUCCUGCAGCGAACACUUUAUUACCCUCUGAUGACAGUCAGUCCCAUUUUCACCAUGGACCAGGAAGAGUAGCGACCGCCGUCGCAUGGCUAAUGGAAAUCAACCAUUAGUCGAAGCUCUUUCAGACCACAUGAUCGAGAUUCAGCAACAACAAAAAAACACACCGGCGUAAUAUCUGCGCAGCGUCACCUGCGGAGAAAUAAAUGCUUCAUCAUGCUCUUGAUUUGAUUUCCAGCAACAAGGAUGGACAUCUGAGCCUGGUUGCGCUCGCUGCUCUCAAAGUAAAAAAACCCUCGUAAUCUGGUGGGAGGCGCUAUUAUGCACUGAUGAGUGCAUUUGUGAU